rnacentral:rRNA from 1 species
GACGAACGCUGGCGGCGUGCUUAACACAUGCAAGUCGAACGAAGAGCGAUGGAAGCUUGCUUCUAUCAAUCUUAGUGGCGAACGGGUGAGUAACGCGUAAUCAACCUGCCCUUCAGAGGGGGACAACAGUUGGAAACGACUGCUAAUACCGCAUACGAUCUAAUCUCGGCAUCGAGGAUAGAUGAAAGGUGGCCUCUACAUGUAAGCUAUCACUGAAGGAGGGGAUUGCGUCUGAUUAGCUAGUUGGAGGGGUAACGGCCCACCAAGGCGAUGAUCAGUAGCCGGUCUGAGAGGAUGAACGGCCACAUUGGGACUGGGACACGGCCCAGACUCCUACGGGAGGCAGCAGGGGGGAAUCUUCCGCAAUGGACGAAAGUCUGACGGAGCAACGCCGCGUGAGUGAUGACGGCCUUCGGGUUGUAAAGCUCUGUUAAUCGGGACGAAAGGCCUUCUUGCGAAUAGUGAGAAGGAUUGACGGUACCGGAAUAGAAAGCCACGGCUAACUACGUG